rnacentral:lncRNA from 1 species
CGAGUGCGUGAGAUUGCCAUUGUUGGAGAAGGUUGAGUUCGCAAGGUGAGAGAGAUGAGAAGGAGACGAGCUUCUGUUUUUGUUUUUUUUCGUUUCCUUUUUUCUGUUUCCUUUUUUUUAAUUAAUUUUUUAAUUUGUUUUUUAACAGAAAAAAAAAAUGUUUAUAUGUUAUUUAUUUUUUUGUUUCAGCCGGUUCAUAUAUUUAGGGUAGUAUUUCAGUAGCAUAUGAUCUUGAGUGGUUUGGUGGAGAGGAGUGAUUUCA